rnacentral:rRNA from 1 species
GACGAACGCUGGCGGCAUGCCUAAUACAUGCAAGUCGAACGAACAUCUUCGGAUGUUAGUGGCGAACGGGUGAGUAACACGUAAGUAACCUGCCCAUUAGUCGAGGAUAACUACUGGAAACGGUAGCUAAUACUGGAUAGGUACUACUUUCAUAGGAGAGUAGUAUGAAAGGUCCUUCGGGAUCGCUAAUGGAGGGGCUUGCGGCGCAUUAGCUAGUUGGUAGGGUAAGGGCCUACCAAGGCGAUGAUGCGUAGCCGACCUGAGAGGGUGACCGGCCACACUGGGACUGAGACACGGCCCAGACUCCUACGGGAGGCAGCAGUAGGGAAUCUUCGGCAAUGGACGGAAGUCUGACCGAGCAAUGCCGCGUGAGCGACGAAGGUCUUCGGAUCGUAAAGCUCUGUUAUGAGGGAAGAAGAGCACCGAUAGGAAAUGAUCGGUGUGUGACGGUACCUCAUGAGCAAGCCACGGCUAACUGUGCCAGCAGCCGCGGUAAUACGUAGGUGGCGAGCGUUGUCCGGAAUUAUUGGGCGUAAAGGGUGCGUAGGCGGUCAAUUAAGUCUGGUCUGAAAGUCCAUGGCUCAACCAUGGGAUUGGAUUAGAAACUGGUUGACUUGAGGGUAAGAGAGGAAAGUGGAAUUCCACGUGUAGCGGUGAAAUGCGUAGAGAUGUGGAGGAACACCAGUGGCGAAGGCGGCUUUCUGGCUUACACCUGACGCUGAGGCACGAAAGCGUGGGUAGCAAACAGGAUUAGAUACCCUGGUAGUCCUAGCCGUAAACGAUGGGUACUAGGUGUAGGUGGUUUCGAUACCAUCUGUGCCGCAGUUAACGCAAUAAGUACCCCGCCUGGGGAGUACGUGCGCCAGCAUGAAACUCAANGGAAUUGACGGGGGCCCGCACAGCGGUGGAGCAUGUGGUUUAUUCGAAGCACGCGAAAACCUNACAGGCUUGACUNCCUUGACGCAUGGAACAUGGCU